rnacentral:rRNA from 1 species
CGCAUCUGUGCAUGCAGCAUAUCAAUAAGCGGAGGAAAAGAAACUAACAAGGAUUCCCCUAGCUAACGGCGAGUGAAGCGGGAAGAGCUCAAAUUUGAAAUCUUAAAGGGUUUCCCUUUACGAAUUGUAGUUUAAAGAAGUGUUUUCUGUUGAGGUUUUGGUAAAAGUUCUUUGGAAUAGGACAUCAUAGAGGGUGAGAAUCCCGUAUUUGACCUUUACUUUCAACUUUGUGAUACACUUUCAAAGAGUCGGAUUGUUUGGGAAUGCAGUCCAAAAUGGGUGGUAAAUUUCAUCUAAAGCUAAAUAUUGGCGAGAGACCGAUAGCGAACAAGUACCGUGAGGGAAAGAUGAAAAGAACUUUGAAAAGAGAGUUAAACAGUACGUGAAAUUGUCAAAAGGGAAGCGUUUGACACCAGUGUUGUUUUUCUGAAAAUCAAUUAAAGAACUGUUUAUGCUAAGUUGUUUAGACUUUAUCAGCUAUCUGCUUAGUUUUGAGCUUUUCUUUAAUGCACUUUUCAGUUAACAAGUCAACAUCAAUUUCUUUUGCUGUAAAAAAGCUUGAGGAAGGUGGCUUGAGAUUCGUCCUUAAGUGUUUAUAGCCUCUUGCCUAUGCAGUCGGAGAGAUUGAGGUCUGCAGCGUAGAUCCUUCGGGGCUAAAUGCAUUUGUGCUAAGUUAUAGCAUUUUAUAGACAACCUGUUGACUAUGAUUUGUCUUGUAGCUUACUCGCUUAUGUUAUUUUACCUACGCUUAGGAUGUUGACGAGACUGUCGAUCUC